AGGCGCAGCACAUCCAGCACCGCCCACGUCCCGAGGAGGGCGCGGCCCCGGCCAUCCCCGAGGGAAGCGGAGGAAGCCGUCUUACCAGUGCUCAUGGAAAUCAAAUGAAACAUAGGUGAGGUGUGAGUUGUUAAAGAGCAACACUUGUUUCAGGGACCAAAUCUCCACCGACCACUGCCUGCUUAUGGAUCCAGAACCUAGGAGGCCUAUGGCCUCUAUCUGACCUACUAUUCCAUUUUUGGUCCAUGAAGAUAAGAUGCAGUUUCCCUCUAGGCCUGGCAAUGUCUUCCUUGUUUUUCUUUUCUUUUUUUUAAAUCUACACUCCUCCUGGGCUUGGAACAGAGUUGAUAGAGGCCCAAUAUCCCUUAACGUCCUUACCAACAACUUCAAAAAAAUGCUAAAACUUGAAAGUUUAUUUUUAAAGUUUGCUACAAGUUCAUCUAAUGAUAAAAUAAACCCAAAAGAGACAUGAGGCUACUUAUAGUUAUCAUUUACCUUCCUCAGAAUGAAUAUUUAUAUGAUUCUUUAAGAAGUAUGAAUGCAUAGUAUUGUAGGUUAACAUCCCAGACUCACUGUCCAUAUAAUACAAUACAUGGAAUAAUCUUUUAGAAAGCCCUCAAAACCUGAAUUGUAAAAUAAAUACAGCCCCAAAGGUUUCAAAUAAGGAUUGUGAUCUGCAUAGCAAAGCAUAAAGUCACCACACCAUCUCUCUUAAAGUUGACUUUUCUAAAGAGAAAUUUAAAAUUACUUUAAACAUAAA